rnacentral:rRNA from 1 species
AGUGAACGCUGGCGGUAGGCCUAACACAUGCAAGUCGAACGGCAGCACAGAGGAGCUUGCUCCUUGGGUGGCGAGUGGCGGACGGGUGAGGAAUACAUCGGAAUCUACUCUGUCGUGGGGGAUAACGUAGGGAAACUUACGCUAAUACCGCAUACGACCUACGGGUGAAAGCAGGGGACCUUCGGGCCUUGCGCGAUUGAAUGAGCCGAUGUCGGAUUAGCUAGUUGGCGGGGUAAAGGCCCACCAAGGCGACGAUCCGUAGCUGGUCUGAGAGGAUGAUCAGCCACACUGGAACUGAGACACGGUCCAGACUCCUACGGGAGGCAGCAGUGGGGAAUAUUGGACAAUGGGCGCAAGCCUGAUCCAGCCAUACCGCGUGGGUGAAGAAGGCCUUCGGGUUGUAAAGCCCUUUUGUUGGGAAAGAAAUCCAGCUGGCUAAUACCCGGUUGGGAUGACGGUACCCAAAGAAUAAGCACCGGCUAACUUCGUGCCAGCAGCCGCCGCAG